rnacentral:tRNA from 1 species
GGACCUUUAGCUCAGUUGGUUAGAGCAGACGCUCAUAACCGUCCGGUCGUUGGUUCAAGUCCAACAAGGUCCA